AUUGAACGCUGGCGGCAGGCCUAACACAUGCAAGUCGAGCGGAUGAAGGGAGCUUGCUCCUGGAUUCAGCGGCGGACGGGUGAGUAAUGCCUAGGAAUCUGCCUGGUAGUGGGGGAUAACGUCCGGAAACGGGCGCUAAUACCGCAUACGUCCUGAGGGAGAAGGUGGGGGAUCUUCGGACCUCACGCUAUCAGAUGAGCCUAGGUCGGAUUAGCUAGUUGGUGGGGUAAAGGCCUACCAAGGCGACGAGCCGUAACUGGUCUGAGAGGAUGAUCAGUCACACUGGAACUGAGACACGGUCCAGACUCCUACGGGAGGCAGCAGUGGGGAAUAUUGGACAAUGGGCGAAAGCCUGAUCCAGCCAUGCCGCGUGUGUGAAGAAGGUCUUCGGAUUGUAAAGCACUUUAAGUUGGGAGGAAGGGCAGUAAGUUAAUACCUUGCUGUUUUGACGUUACCAACAGAAUAAGCACCGGCUAACUUCGUG
rnacentral:rRNA from 1 species